AUCGGUGGGAUGGAUGGGGUGGGUGGGGACACCUUUGGGAUGGGUGGGAUGAGUGGGUCCGCAUUGGGAAAGGUGGGAGGGGUGGUAUGGAUGGGAUGGGAGGGAUCAUUGGUGGGAUGGGUGGGAUCAGUGGGAUGGAUGGGAUGGGUGGGAUGAUGGGAUGGAUGGGAUUACGGCUGGGGUGGAUGGGGUCAUCGGUGGGCUUAUGGGAUGGUGGAAUGGGUGGGAUCACCAGUGGGGUCAUGGGACCAAUGGGUGACAUGGGUGGAUCGUCCAUGGCAUGAGUGGGAUCGCUGGGAUUGAUGGGAUAAUUGGUGGGAUGGGUGGGAUGAUGGGAUGGGGGGAUCAAUAGGAUGGAUGGGAUCAUUGGUGGGGUCAUGGGAUCGAUGGGUGACAUGGGUGGGACCAUGGAUGGGAUCAUCAGCGGCAUCCAUGGGAUCAGUGGGAUCAGUGGGAUGGAUGGGAUCAUCAGUGGCAUCCAUGGGAUCAGAGGUAUUGCUGGGAUGGAUGGGAUCAUCACUGGGGUCAUGGGAUCAUCAGUGGCAUCCAUGGGAUCAGUGGGAUUGAUGGGAUGGAUGGGAUCAUCAGAGGCAUCCAUGGGAUCAGUGGGAUCAGUGGGAUGGAUGGGAUCAUCACUGGGAUCCAUGGGAUCAGUGGCAUCGUUGGGAAGGGUGGGAUCAUCAGUGGGGUCAUGGGAUGAAUGGUUGACAUGGGUGAGGUCACUGGUGGCAUCAUCAGUGGGAUCAGUGGGAUCGCUGGGAUGGAUGGGAUCAUUGGUGGGAUGGAUGGGAUCAUCAGUUGGGAUGGGUGGGAUCAUCAGUGGGGCCAUGGGAUCAGUGGGAUUGCUGGGAUGGGUGGUACCAUCAGUGAGGUCAUGGGAUCAGUGUGAUCGCUGGUGUGGAUGGGAGCAUCACUGGGAUCCAUGGGAUCAGUUGGAUCGUUGGGAUGGAUGGAAUCAUCAGUGGGGUCAUGGGAUCGAUGGGUGACAUGGGUGGGAUCAAUGGUGGGAUCAAUGGGAUGGAUGGGAUCAUUGGGGUCAUGGGUUCAAUGGGUGAUAUGGGUGGGAUCAUGGCUGGGAUCAUCAGCGGCAUCCAUGGGAUCUGUGGGAUCAGUGGGAUGGAUGGGAUGAUCAGUGAGGUCAUGGGAUCAGUGUGAUCGCUGGUGUGGAUGGGAUCAUCACUGGGAUCCAUGGGAUCAGUGGGAUCGUUGGGAUGGGUGGGAUCAUCAAGUGGGGUCAUGAGAUCAGUGGGAUUGCUGGGAUGGAUGGGAUCAUGCAGUGGGGUCAUGGGAUCGAUGGAUGACAUGGGUGGGGUCACCAAUGGGAUCAUCGGUGACAUCAGUGGGAUCAAUAGGAUCACUGCAAUGGAUGGGAACAUCAGUGGGUUGGGUGGGAUCAUCAGUGGGGUCAUGGGAUCGAUGGGUGACAUGGGU
ensembl:lncRNA